GGCUCAUGCCAACAUUGUACUCUAAUGUGGUCUGCACCAAAAAUACUCAUUCCUAUGACUUAACAAAAUUUGACUUGCAUUCCUUCAAGGCCCAGCUAAUUAACAUUCUGCUUCUUCUGAGCUGUCUUUCCUAACCAGACCCUUUCCUUCACUGGGCCAGGAUGACUGUACCCCUCCUGCACUGAGUCUAAAAUAGGCUCAUCUCUCCCUUUUCUCCACCCUGGCUUUGUUCUGGAUAAUCCUACAACACUCCAUCUUGACUGGGAGCCUUUCCUUGGCAGGGCUAGUGUUCAACAUUGCGUUCCAAGUUGCCUAGCCCAGUGCUCCACAUAAUUCAAGCAUUUCAAAAAGUUCUUCUUGAUGAUGAUGCCAGUUUUAGCUGCAUAAGCAGGAAAAAACGUAACCCAGGGGUUAGGGAUGUUUCCAAGGCCACAGUACGGCUCCUUGCCUUGUGUGGAAGGUAGGCUUUCUCUUCCCCACUAGGCUCUCGCCUGCUCUAGUCCUCAGUCCAGCUGAGUGGGGAUGCAAUGUCAGCCAUCCAGUUCACCAACCACAGCUGCACUGUGCAAAAAGGAUGGAAGAACAAAAUACCCAUGAGACAACACCGUGGCUUUUGAAACAGGUAUGUAGGCUUUCUUGUUUAAUAGCAGUUAAAAGAGGAAAAUGUACAAGAGGAAUAAACAUGCUCUUUUCACAGAGGAGCUUUCCCCUAACCAUGCGGCCCAUCUGUAUCAGUAGCUUUACUAGUAAGUUUUAGAGAAAAAAGUUCCCUUUAGAGUUAAAAAUGGACUUUCCUAAUUUUCUCUAUAUAUGUGCAACUAUCCGUGUAAAAUAAAAAUGCCAUUUCCAACACCUUUGUGAAAAGUAAUUGUGAAUGCAGGCAAAAAAAAAAAAAAAAGAAGAAGAAGAAGAAGAGGCAAUUGCAGUCAAGAGAGGAGUCCUGGGAGAAGGGAGGCUAAGGUAGGGGAAUUUCUGCAGCAGUUCCUAGAGAGUGUGCUCAGAGGCCUGAUGAGGAAGGCCAUGGCCAAAGCCGAUCUUAGGAGAUAAAAGGCCGUGGGUCUGGGACUUGCUGAGUAAGCACUUGUCAAGUGUACAGUAAGGCUAGACUGACUUGGAGGACUGGUAUGCAAUGAGAACACUGGGCAAUGCACCCUGGAAGCUCUACAUUCCCUUUGCCAACAGGAUCUCACUUCCUGGUUCCCAUUUUCAGGUCCUGUUCUUCCCUACCUGCAACAGCUUCAUUUAUAGCCUGCUCAAAGAGAUUUUCCCUAUGAAUGUUAAAAUGAUGCAAGCAGCCUAUAUUACUACUGAAACCUAAUAGAGUCCCAAACUGAACUGUCCCUUCAGGAAUAUAUAGACCUGGUUUCCUCAAGAACUUGGCCAAGGGUUCAUCCUGACCAGAAGCCAUACAGGCUUCUAGCCAUCUGUGUGCUUGCCCUCUUAUUGAGGCCCUCCACGGUACUUCUACAUCUCUAGGUAUUUGAGGCCAUAUCUGAGGAGUCUGAUGGGUCUGGGCACACAUGCUUUGCACAAGUCCUCUCAAGGGUUGGCCCAGCUACAGGUUAUAGACAAAACUAAAAACAUCCCACUUUUCUAGUUCAAAAACUUGACAUUGCUGGUCCCUGUUUUUACCUUCCCUGGCCCACCAAGAGUAUGUCUCUACAUACAACUCAGUAGCUGCAGGUUGUUUUUUGUUAGAUAAGGUGAAGGCAGACUAAGAAUGGAGAGAAGAUAUAUCAAAGGGUCCAUCUUUAUAUCUUGAGCUUGAAUAAGCUUUUUCUUUCAUGGGACUUCUGUGCAGAAUAACCCCUAUUCCUCCACCUUGUUCACUUUUUCCUGUAUAGCACAGUUCUUCCAAGGCAGAGGUUUGAGACCAGACCAGCAAUGAUGAUCCUCUAAAAAGACAAACACUGUGCCAUGCUUACACAUCUCUCCAUUUCCACUUCAAAGUCUCUCAGCACUUAAAGCUGAAGAGAUCUUGCUGCAAACUGGGUACUAGCAAAGAAAAGUGUUUUGAACUCUUCUCAAGCAAUAGAACUUCAGAUUAAUAUAAUCGUUUCUCACUUGUUUCAACAAAGAUGAGAGCUCGGCGAUGCCAUUUUGGCUCCUGCCUUCUCUUGGCUUAUCAAGUUCUGGGUGGCAGUGCUCAUCCCUUACCCUCAUUCUGAAACCCUGGCCAACCACCUAGCCCUCAGGAUGAGCCUCAGCAGCAUCUAUGUGCUCACAUGUAGCCUGGUCUCUCCAGCUUUGAGGAAGUUUGUAUGUCUGUGUGCACAUCCUCUUCCCCAUGACUAUCAAGAUAUGAUAGGAUAUGGUGAGGUAGGGGGGUGGGGGAGGGGCAAGGAAGUACUUCCCUCCCCAGAAGCAACUCAGUAGCUGACAAAGGUAGUGAAGAAUUCUGUUUGAUGAGUCUCUCCUCCCAUCAAUCCAAGCUGGAAAUGCCUGUGUGGCUUAUUUGUCAUGUUUGGUGAUGCACAAUUAUACUCUUGCCAGUAGCCAUCUUUCUGCUACUUGCCAGUAGCAUCUUUCUGAAGUGUCUUGAAGUACAGUUUCCCCCGACUGACCUCAUAGCAAAGCCCUUGCGUUAAGUCUCAGGAGUCCAUCUGGGACAAUGAGUGCAGCCUCCACGCUAAGCUGCUCCAGGCUUUAGAGUUUGGAGGAUAGGAUUAUAGGCAAUCUUUCUCAGACAAGGCCAAAGAUGGCUUUGGGGAUCUCAAAAGAGGGUGGGAACCUUGGGCUUGAGCAGCAAAAUAAUAUCUAGGAUAUUAUUUAGUGAAGGACAGUUGGGCCAGAGGCAACAAGCCACAAGCCAUGGUUGGCUCUGUCGACUUUAUGGUAACAAUGUCUCCAUCCCUAGAGGCAUCCAGUCCAGUCAUGGCUGCCCCCACAGUGCAGAGCUGGUGACAUUUCCUUAAAGAUGAUAGCCAAAAAGCUGGUUUUAAAACAUAAAGGAACAAUCCCAACUAAUCCUCAGGUUACACCUAAGGGUAAGGUAAGGGCCAUUUUUAGGCUUCCGAAAUCUGAACUAUUUCAAUGGCAUUACUGGAGGAGGCUAAGUCUGAAACGCCCUGUGAAGGCCUAUGGAAGUAACUGUUGAUUUAUGUCCUGAACCAAGUGCUCUGACUGUAAAUGAAGGAAAUGAGAUGAACAGGGAAGGGAUUGGGUCUCUGAUUCCAUGAAAACUGGCUUUCAAGAUCCAGAAAAACUCUUCGAGCUGAGACUCAACACUCCUAGAGCUGGGGCAAUAUGCAGUUAAACAUGGGAUCCAAUUAUUACUGCUGUCUACUUAGCUGUAUCCUGCCCUAGAAAAAUUUGCAGUAAAAGCCUUUGGUUAGAUCAGGCUAAAGAAACUGCCAUUCUUGGGGGAUUGGAAUGAAGCUGUCAUCUUGCCAUAUGCCAUGCUUGUUCACAAGCCAGUGAAAGUCAGCAGACUGAGGAGAUGACCCUCCAGAGCUGCCCUUAGUGUACUAAAUAGUAAUGUUUGCCAUGCCCUUUCCUUGUAUUGAGAAGAAUCAGCCUCAUCUAUGUGGUGAAUGGGCAUCCAAGAGUGAACAGGACAUAUUUUAGUAUCCUUUUGCUUACUCACUCUACCUCCUAGCGCCAGAUACCCACUUUUUAUGGUUCCUAAGCCCCAGACCUAAGCUUUAGAGCCAUGGAUGAAAGGUGGUUCAUCACUGUGGGAUUGAUGAUACCACCAUCUCUAAGAUAACACAGAUAGUGUAGUAAUAACUUCCCCUGAGUCCCAGCCUAGCAACAUCUCAUGUACUUGCUUAUUCUUGUGCCUCUUUUACUAUAGGGAAAUGUUAUGUGAAUACCGCACAGGGGUUAAUAAAAAAAUACAUAUGCUCUCUUUGAAGAAGAAUGCACAAAUGCAGGGUCAGCUGGGGCUGGAUCCCAGACUGACACAGAGGCUGCAGCAGGUCGCCUCUGUGGGUCCGGGGUCACCCUUCAUGAGUGGUGGCUGCUGAUGAGUCCUCGGAGCUGCUUGGCCACCGUGUCAAUGAGUUUCUGCUUGUCUCGCUCAUUUUUCC
rnacentral:lncRNA from 1 species